AUUUCAUCCCUUCAGAUCACUCUGUGAUUUGUGAGCUGCAUUUCCAUGCACACGAAAUAGAAAGAAGUACAUCGUCAUAUGAUGCUAAGACUGGAAGAUUAAUUACACGCCUCUUGAUCGUCCACGUUUAAGGAAAGGUGCAAUACCAGCACUAUUGCCAGGAUGUCCUGAUUAUUUAUCUACACCAUAAGAAG